UGGCUGACCAUCGACCCACAGGUCCGGCUCUCCCUCACUCGGCAGCUCAUCUCCAGUCACCGGCUCUCCCUCACUCCGCAGCUCAUCUCCAGAUUUGUGUUGGUUAGUGUGGACUGAGGCUGCUUGUGGUUUUGGGAUUCCAAUUAAAUCCAUUCUUUCUUCACAUAAGGAGAUAAUCAUAAUGCAUAAGACAACAUAAUAUGACUUGUUGGCUAGAUUAUCAGUGGCUUUUAAGGUUCUUCAACUAUGUCCGGAGAUUGUACCGUUCAAACAAUUCUUGAUGAUGGGGAGCCUAAUGAAGAGGAUGGGAGUUGUGUCACAAUUAUGGAUGAUUAGACAUUUUGUAAUAAUUUAGUAGCCUUUUUAAUUUCUUAAACUUGUUGGAUUAAUUUGUUGGUUUGUAAUUAUUUUAAGCCUUUUUAGCAUUUUGUAAUUUUUUAGCCUUUUUAAUUUGUUGGUUUGUGGAGGAUAAGACAUUUUGUAAUUUCUUACACUUGUAGGAUUUGUUUUGUAACUUUUUAUUUUUGAAUUUCUUGAACUUGUUGGACUUUUGAUACUUAGUUCUUGGACUUAUUGGAUUUAUUUUAUUUUUAUGUUUAGUUGGUGAUUUUA